CUUAAGCAUAUCAAUAAGCGGAGGAAAAGAAACCAACAGGGAUUGCCUUAGUAACGGCGAGUGAAGCGGCAACAGCUCAAAUUUGAAAUCUGGCCCUUGGGUCCGAAUUGUAAUUUGUAGAGGAUGAUUUUGGUGCGGUAUCUUCCGAGUUCCUUGGAACAGGACGCCUUAGAGGGUGAGAGCCCCGUACGGUUGAAUGCCUAGCCUCUGUAAAUCUCCUUCGACGAGUCGAGUAGUUUGGGAAUGCUGCUCUAAAUGGGAGGUAAAUUUCUUCUAAAGCUAAAUAUUGGCCAGAGACCGAUAGCGCACAAGUAGAGUGAUCGAAAGAUGAAAAGCACUUUGAAAAGAGGGUUAAAUAGCACGUGAAAUUGUUGAAAGGGAAGGAUUUGUGACCAGACUUUUUCUGGGCGGAUCAUCCGGGGUUCUCUCCGGUGCACUUCGCCCAGUAAAGGCCAGCAUCGGUUUUCGGCGUGGGAUAAAAGCAGUAGGAAUGUGGCUCUCUUCGGGGAGUGUUAUAGCCUAUUGUAUAAUACCGCGCUGGGGACCGAGGUUCGCGCUUCUGCAAGGAUGCUGGCGUAAUGGUUAUCAAUCACCCGUCUUGAAACACGGACCAAGGAGUCGAACAUUUGUGCGAGUGUUUGGGUGUUAAACCCUCACGCGUAAUGAAAGUGAACGGAGGUGAGAGCCCUUACGGGUGCAUCAUCGACCGAUCCUGAAGUUUUCGGAUGGAUUUGAGUAAGAGCAUAACUGUUCGGACCCGAAAGAUGGUGAACUAUGCGUGGAUAGGGUGAAGCCAGAGGAAACUCUGGUGGAGGCUCGCAGCGGUUCUGACGUGCAAAUCGAUCGUCAAAUCUGCGCAUGGGGGCGAAAGACUAAUCGAAACCAUCUAGUAGCUGGUUACCGCCGAAGU
rnacentral:rRNA from 1 species